GGGCGAGUAACACGUGGAUAACCUACCUAUAAGACUGGGAUAACUUCGGGAAACCGGAGCUAAUACCGGAUAAUAUUUUGAACCGCAUGGUUCAAAAGUGAAAGACGGUCUUGCUGUCACUUAUAGAUGGAUCCGCGCUGCAUUAGCUAGUUGGUAAGGUAACGGCUUACCAAGGCAACGAUGCAUAGCCGACCUGAGAGGGUGAUCGGCCACGCUGGAACUGAGACACGGUCCAG
rnacentral:rRNA from 1 species